AGGGAAUUUUCAUGUGGUCUGCUGCCAAGAAUGCAGAGCAGGAGCGUUUACAUAACAUGCCACCCCUGUGACAGUGCCCAUCCAGCAGAGCUGGGUGAUCCCAAGCAGUUGGCUUCACCUGUAUCCUUCUAGCACCAGGACAGCCAGCUUUCCAAGUGGCCAAUGACCAUAAAGAGUGUCCAGUGGUUUAAAAUUUGCUUAUUUUGCCUGCAGACAGAAAUGUUCUUGCUCUGAUUAUUGCAUUGACAGUUGAAGAAGCAUUCCAAAGAGGACUUCACAUUUUUCCGACCUGCAGUGUAUUUAAGCAAGGUGCCAUACGCCCCUAUGGUGGCACUGAUCAUCAGAUGACUUAUUUCUUUAAAAGAAAAAAAAAAGCAGAUGCUAGGAUCGUCAGCGAUGCCAGCUGGGCCAUGUGAUCACAUGCUUCUUGAUGUUAUCAGCAAUACAGAUUGUGCUGGGUGUGGGGAUGGGAACAUGGGCUCUUCUCUUUUGUGCCCCAUCAGACCUACAGGGCUGCAGGAACUUCAGUGCCUGGCAUUGCGUCACACUCUGGUGCUUGAAAAUGCAAUCUAAGCUCUCUUUUUUUUCAACACAAAACCAGUCCAACGCCAUGCUAAGGUGUACAGACGUGUCACUGGAAGACGUGCAGUCAUUCUUCCAUGCUACCGAACAGCAGCACAAGUUGAAGUGGAAUUCACGAGAGGUGUUCUCCAGCUGAUACAGGUCUGGAAGUGAACAGUAAGAAUGUUUAAAUAGAAAGUUAGAAAGCACAGUUUGCAAGGAGGGACUGAUAAAAGUGUGUUUGUGUUUUGUUUGGUCUCGAGGAGGCAAAUAGGCUACAGCAGAGCUGCUGCCACACAAGUAAAAUGGUGCAGCAAGGAGGAGAGAAAGCUCUGUUCUCCCACACUCUUCUUAUAAUGGCUUAAACUGGGCCCUGGAGAGUCAGGGGAAAAAAUAGGAAAUCCUUCUGAUGGUAGAGGUAGGUCACUGCCGGAGCAGAUGGCUGGGGGGCUGUGGAGUUUCUGUCACCACAGAUUAACAACAAGUCAAACAAAAAUUGUCUGUAAGGGAAGAAUUGCAGAGUCCUGUGGUCCUGUCUCCCUGCCAGACCGGGGCUAAAUCAUUGAGACAGGAGGAAGCUGGGCUCUGAGACUCCUACAGCACACGUGGCUCUAUGUGCAUCCGCUCAGUGUUUGUGCAGAAUGUGUUGUGGGGGUGUGAGGUGGCCAGUUCUCUCAUUUCUGAACUAAGGUUAUGGUAUGUGGGUAUUCCUGUGCGCCCUAGCUGCAAAUGUCCUGGCUGACCUGAGGAUCUCCACUCCCAUUUGUAAAAUAAUGGCAUUUCUUCUCUUCUGAAACCACGAGGAUGGCACUGAAGAUGUGGAAUAGAGACUCAGAAGGCAGAAGAUGUGGUCCUGUGUGAGCUCCCUUCCAGGAUCCCUUCCAGCCUCAGCCCCGCAGUGCUUCUGCUCACCAAGAGGCAGCUUUUAUUCCAUCACAGAAUGCUAAAUGCCCAGAUGGUUCCUGCUGACAGUGGUGCUGCUGGUAGAUUACUGCUGCCCAUCCAUUCUCCAGGCACUGCACACCCAGGGCCACUGGGAACAGCAAGGCUGUGAGACCACCAGGUCCUUCUGCUGCCAUCAUCAUUGCACCUCUCCUGCUCACGCUGCACCUGCUUUCCUUAAGCUCACUGAAGAAAAGCCACCGACUGCUCCUGGUGAGAUGCCAGCUUUGUGUGGCUGCUGGGACGCCUUCUGCCAGGGGUGCAUCACACCUUCCUGUUGUCCUAUCCUUCUGGCACCUGGACUUUGGUUUCAGGGCUGGGCUGAAGCCUGGGAGCUGCUGCACCCGUCUGCUGCCACACGCGGUAGGAAGCAUCACCUCCUGAGCUGCACUUUGGGGAAUUCACCACUGAAGAUGCGUCUCUGGUGCUCGGAGUGCCACUAAACCCUCUUCCCACCCCUGGAAGGACAGACAGACAGACAGCAGUGCAUGUCAGCGGACAGAACUGCAGCUGCACGGCUCCUCCUGCAGCCUCAGCGCGGGGUUGGUGGGGUGCUGGGAGCUGCUGCCCUCGGUAAGCGGGAUGGGAAGAGGAGGUGACACAUCACCGUGCUGUGACUCAGGAGAAAGGCCGAGCCCUGAGGGCCUGGAAAGAGUUAAUGAAGGAAAAGCUUGUCUGGCCAAGGGGCUGGUGUGGCUCCAGGAGAGCCGUGACUCAGAGAUGGAGCAUCCUGCCAGAGCACCGAGCUCCUCAUCCUCAGCUCCUCCUCUCCCAGCACAGCGAUGUGAAUGUGUUCAGCAUCGUGGCUGAGGGUUUGUCCCGUACAGCACCUGCUCUUCCCACUCAGCUCCACACUCUUGGCUUGCGUAAGAAACUCCUUACCUCAUAGUCUGUGGGUAGGACCUGGCACAUCUGGCUGUAUCGUGUCGGUCAGCGGUGCACAGCCCUUGGUCAUCUCAUUGGGGCUCUCUACAAGACAGGAGAAGGUUAACAGGAUGAUUUACAAGAGUAAGGAAAAGGACAGGAACAGACGGACUGGGUGAGUUAUUCAAAGGUUUGACCAGAGUGUGACCAGCUUGGGCUCAAAACGAAGCGUGGAGCAACGAGAUUUGGUGGCAGUGUCACAAAACAGCCCGUGCUCAACGACACACAAUCCUCUGUCCCAGGGGCACGUUAAUAGUUCUGUAUAAAAUGGAUGUUUUCCUUCUCCUCAGCCCCUUGUCCCCCUGCCCAAUGACCAAUGAGGGGUCCCACGAAGCACCGACAUGAAGGCAGCGGCGGUGCAGCAGAGCAGGGUAGGAUGUGUGGUCCUGGCAAUAAGUGGAAUUACACCGCUUUGAACCCAGGCUGGCAGAGCAUAAACAUAUGGAUUAGCACCAACGCAACAGAUCAAAACCCAAGGAGGAGGGCUCAAACAAGUCGUAAUUUGUAACAACAACAAAACUGCAGGGUUUCAUCACUUCAGCUCCCAACCCUCACACCUCAACCUCGCCGCAAGGAAAACAGCUGCCUCCCUUUUCUCUCACAUCUGUCCUAAAUAUCCCGUUGGGGCAGCCAGCCUGGGAAGCACUGCCUGUUGGGUGGAACACCGCUGUCUGGAGCUGUGCGUUGUCAGAGCAAUCACUGUGGGGUGGGGACAAGAAAAGGACACAGUGUUCAAUGCCGGAUCUGUUUGGAGAGUAGAAAACUGUUCCCGUGCAACCCUUCUUUUGCAGCAGCCAGGCUGCAGGGUGCUGCAUGCACAGAGCUGCAGGUCCAGCUGCGAGUGUCCCAGCAUUGCUGUGCUGUUUGGCUGCAGCUGCUGCUGCAUCAGAGGUGACUGCAGAUCGACAAGACAGGGCGACAGCACAACUGUAGGCACCUUCAUCUGCUGCAUGCAUAAUCCCCGGUGCUGAACCCUCUCCAAACUCAUCCCCAGGUCUUAUCUUUUCUAAACUGGGUAUUUAUUCAUGUGGUUGUUUUAUGUAAACUGCAAAGAGCCUCAUUAAAUGGAAACCUUCCCUCGUGAGCUUCAUUAUUAAGGUGGAAUGGCACUCAGAACGCGCUGAGCAAAAUCCAUGAGCUUUGGUGUUACUUGGGGAAGGAAUGCUCAGUGCUGGCAGCCCGGGGCUGAGCCCACCUGUCUCCCCCAUUCAGGAGCAUGCUCUGCUCUGGGAUGACGCACUGCAAUGGGCACUGUGUGCAGGAAGCUCCCAGGAGAAAUCCUGAAGAACAGAAUGGGGACCUGGGACCUGCCCUGCCCUAGCAGUCCAGCGCUGGGCCCUUUGGAUUCUGGAGAAGGAUGGAGCAGCAGUGAGGCUGACCUGGGCUGCAGCUCCAAGCUUGGGGCUGGCUGACAUGGAGCUGUGGAAGGGGAUGAGGUUUUGCAGCCAAAACUUCCCAUUGCUGGAAUGCUAGCCAGGUAAAUCCCAGUGUUUUUGUGGAUCCCUGUUCUCAUUUGUGUUAUAAAUGCUCAUGGCAGAAUUGACAGCAGAAGACACACACACAUGGUUAUGGAUGCAUGCAUCAAUCUGAGGCUGGAAAUGAAUUGGGUUGCAUGUAUUUUCCCUUCCUUAACCCAACUGAACUCAAUCCUGCUUUCCCAGGACUGAACACCAACAGGAACCACUGCAAAUGAGUUGUUUCCUUUUGGUAGCAGUCACACUUGAUGAAGCAGUGUGAUAUUUGGGGAACAGGCUGAGAGAGCAGAGAGGGACUGGAUGCUCUGGCAGCGCCCAAUGCAUGCUGAGCCCUUUGCUGUCAUCACCCCAGUGCCCCACUGGGAGCCGUGCAUUGCCUCUGCUGUGUUUGGUGCCUCUCAGCCCCCCCAUGCAUCUCCAGCUGAAGGACUUGAGAGCUGAUAGAGCUUUUUAAAGUGGGGAUUAUGUAAAUGCAUAUUAUGGCGCUUUCAUAAACAGGGAUUAUUUGUCGAAUGCUUUCGAGUGCUUCCUUCGCAGCGAUUAAGGUCUGUUGUGUA